rnacentral:rRNA from 1 species
UACGUAGGGGGCAAGCGUUGUCCGGAUUUAUUGGGCGUAAAGAGCGUGUAGGCGGUUUGGUAGGUCCGCUGUGAAAACUCGAGGCUCAACCUCGAGACGCCGGUGGAAACCAUCAGACUAGAGUCCGGAAGAGGAGAGUGGAAUUCCUGGUGUAGCGGUGAAAUGCGCAGAUAUCAGGAGGAACACCGGUGGCGAAGGCGGUUCUCUGGGCCGUUGCUGACGCUGAGGAGCGAAAGCGUGGGGAGCGAACAGG